CUUAUAAGAGAAGGAAAUAUUUUAAACUGUAUCCCUCUACAAAGCGGAGCAUGUGCUCCCUUUGCCAGACUACUAAGUACAAGCCUAAGCAAUUUUAUUUGUUGCAUCAGAUCUACAUUAAUGUAAGUGUGAAAGACUGACUAACAAGCGGCAUGUGUGGAAGUAAGACUUAACUGCAUUUUUAUUUUUCUUGUGUACAAAAUUUUAAUGUACGAAUAAUACUGUAAGCCCAGGAAUAUUUGCUAGCCUUUUAUUACGCAAAUUUGACAUAUGAAACAUUUUUGGCGCGAAUAAUACUAUUGUAAAUGCUUUCAGGAUAACAGGUCGUCUUGUGUAAUUCACCAAAUAUUUUGGCCACGAUAUUUCUGGACUUACAGUAUUUAAAUUUUACCCAAUGAAGAAAAAAAAUACUACUGUGUAGGGCAUGUUAAGAAUUCUUGCAUAUUAAAAAAAAAAAAAAAAAUCCUAAUUUUAGGGAAAUUAUUUUUAGAAUUUAAAGUGGUCAAACUUAGUUAAGUAUAUUGCCAUGUCGUUGUAAUGUGGGUGAACAAUAAAUAGUAAAUAUGAAAAUAUUUUAAAGUACAACUAUUAUUACUCUACAGAAUGUUCUUGGGGAUUCACAGCAGCGUGGAGGUGUAGUACUUUGAUAAUCUUGUUCAGACAACGCCAUUUUCUCUCGCGGGAUGUGCUCCAUUUUGUGGGCAUAUUAGGAAUUCUUAAACUCUUAUGGAGAUGGAACAGGAAAGCACUGGGGAUUCUGUUUUAAACUCCCACAUUAGUUCUGUGUUGCCAAACCUCACCACCUGUGUGCUCAAUUCUGUUUUGGACACACACAAAAACCUGGGUGUAGAAACCCUGGAUGAUUUCAGAUUUGUAAAAGAUGAUGAUCUCCUGAUGGUCCUCAAGCCAAUAGAAGUUCGAAAACUCCUAGCCAGCUUUACAGUCACAUGUGAAACCACGAUUUCCAGCAGUCCGUGCUCAUCCAGAACAGAGACCUCAACAGUCUCCAGCCCAGGGUGCUCUUUUGCACAGAGUUGUAUCGAGUUGGAUGAAUCACUUUCACCUUUGGGAGCUGACUGGUUCCUUCGGUUUUGAGAUGCCAUGGGAAAAACUCCCUACUGACCUCCUUUACAAGUUAGAAAGGCCAUCGCCAAAGCAACGCAGAGAAAUGAUACGACUCAUUAUUAAUGAAGUCACAGGGGUCUGCAAGAGGCCUUCAAAGAAACAUCUUACAGAUAUAGCAAGAAGAAUUGUGGCAAAAUAUCCUAAAUCUUUGCAGGAUGUUAUCGAAGGCCACAUAGUUGGCAGUGGAUAUGAUUCCUUGGUAAAACAGCUGCAGAGCAGAGCAGAUAAUGUGAAGCGUACACAGUUUUCUACCCCCAAAAGACAGUUUCAACACAGUAGUGGGAGCGACACGGAAGAAGUUCCUGCAAAGGAACAAGCUUUACCUCAAGACACUUACGGUUGCAUAAACUGGGAUCCCGAGCACCUGCCAAUCACAGAGACAUAAGAACAUAAGAACAUAAGAAAGUUUACAAACGAGAGGAGGCCAUUCAGCCCAUCUUGCUUGUUUGGUUGUUUAGUAGCUUAUUGAUCCCAGAAUCUCAUCAAGCAGCUUCUUGAAGGAUCCCAGGGUGUCGGCUUCAACAACAUUACUGGGGAGUUGGUUCCAGACCCUCACAAUUCUCUGUGUAAAAAAGUGCCUCCUAUUUUCUGUUCUGAAUGCCCCUUUAUCUAAUCUCCAUUUAUGACCCCUGGUCCUUUUUUCUUUUUUCAAGUCAAAGAAGUCCCCCGGGUUGACAUUGUCUAUACCUUUUAGGAUUUUGAAUGUUUGAGUCAAAAACAGCAACAAGAAAAUGAAAACCAUGUUCAGAGAAAGAAACUGGGAUACACAGAUAAUCGCCAAAAAAAUGAUGGCAACGUACUACACUCGGAGAAAAGACAUCAUCCGAAAAAAUAAGGAGGGAGUGGCCAUUUCUGUUUGAAAUGCCAGGAUUACAAGCACACUUCAGGGCACUUGCAAGUGUACAAUUAGAAGGGAAAUUUUUUGAGACCGUAAAAAACAAAUCGCACAGAAUUCUGGCCUACAUGGACACUCUCAACAAUGAGAAACAAAGAAAAACUGCAAGAGUUUUGGCACAGAUUGAAGUUGCAAAGAAGGACACAAAGUCUAAAUUACCGGAGAUGCCAGGGUUGGUUUUGCUGCUGCUUGCUUACUUUGGUGAAGACGACAAGCAAAUGUUUUUCCAGGUGGAUGACACUUGCUUACCUUCUGAAGUGCCAACAUCUGAUCUGCCUGCAUCACCUUGCAUUAUUUUCUGUGGAGAUUCCCUUCUAACUGCAUCCCGCUUAAUGCUGAGCAUUGAUUAAAGUUGUCGUUACAGAACAACAAACUAACUUUGUGGAAGCUUUGCUUAUGAUGUUUGCAUCCUACUACUGCUGAACAUCCAUUACCCAUCAGAGUUGGGAGCAACACUUGAAUUCCUUCAAAGAUGCAUCUUCAAAAUAAAUCCAGACAAAGGGACGAAGGUCGAACGGAAGCCACAUAAGAGGCAAUAUGCUGUGAAUCCAAGAGUUCUUUCCCUCAUUUCUGCAAUUGCUAAUUUUGAAUGGAGAGAAUACAAUGCAAUUGUUAUGUCAAAAGUUUUCAGUCACCAGCAUGUCAACUGCAGCACAAAGCAGCUUCUCCACAUUUGACUCCUAGGCCGGGACCUGAUCAAAACUUUGACGACCCACCAAUCACACUUUACAAAACGGUUUUAUGAGUAGGAGAAAUUGGAUAUUUACAAAAACAACAAAAAGCGAUAACAUUCUGUUUUGUAAAGUGUGAUUGGCGGGUCGUCCCGGCCUAGCCUGCUCAAUCAAAAAACAGCAGUUUGAACACUAUUUAAAAACAAAAACAUCUGUUGUGCUACUGACUCCACUAUUACGGCUGUGAAAGAACCAUGGACUUGUUUGUGAGAACUGUCCGAGUCCAACAAGGCCUGGAUCAACAUUAUUUCGGAAAACACUUGGUAUCUGUUAAUAGUUGAUUUGUCUGUAGAAAUAUGCUAAGAGAAAGUGAGGGCACAGUUCGGUAGCCAGUUUUAGUAUAUUUAAUAUGGUUUUACUGUGUACUAGGCUUACCAUUGUUGGUAUCCUAGCAGCUGGUAUGUUAACAUUUAAAAUAACUCAGCUUGAGGAGUGAUUGAGCAUUUUUUGUUAAUUCCUGCAUUUUUGAAAAGGUUGUAUAGGGGCUCCAUGACACAGAAGCUAUCAUGCCUAAUGAAUAUGUAUAUUUUGUAUUUGCUCAGUAAAAUGCUCAAUAAAAAGUUGUAAUAAAAUUCUGAAAGCUUAAGGAAUGCUUGUUAAUGUUUUUCAUUAUUUAUUUUCUGCUGUUUAACACUUAGUGUAAAUUAACUAAUAAUUAAGCACAUAUUUGAGCUUUUAUAAAUCGUACACACUAUAACCUGAAAAUGAAUGUAUUCCAUAGUAAAAUGACUAAACUUAACAU